rnacentral:rRNA from 1 species
AGGACGAACGCUGGCGGCGUGCUUAACACAUGCAAGUCGAGCGGAAAGGCCCUUCGGGGUACUCGAGCGGCGAACGGGUGAGUAACACGUGAGUAAUCUGCCCCUAGCUCUGGGAUAGCUCCGGGAAACCGGGAUUAAUACCGGAUACGACCACCUUAGACAUCUUUUGUGGUGGAAAGAAUUUCGGCUAGGGAUGAGCUCGCGGCCUAUCAGCUUGUUGGUGGGGUAACGCCUACCAAGGCGACGACGGGUAGCCGGCCUGAGAGGGCGACCGGCCACACUGGGACUGAGACACGGCCCAGACUCCUACGGGAGGCAGCAGUGGGGAAUAUUGCGCAAUGGGCGAAAGCCUGACGCAGCGACGCCGCGUGGGGGAUGAAGGCCUUCGGGUUGUAAACCCCGUUUCAGCAGGGACGAAGCGAAAGUGACGGUACCUGCAGAAGAAGCGCCGGCUAACUACGCGCCAGCAGCCGC